UACGUAGGGUGCGAGCGUUGUCCGGAAUUAUUGGGCGUAAAGAGCUUGUAGGCGGUUUGUCGCGUCUGCUGUGAAAAUCCGGGGCUUAACCCCGGACCUGCAGUGGGUACGGGCAGACUAGAGUGUGGUAGGGGAGACUGGAAUUCCUGGUGUAGCGGUGAAAUGCGCAGAUAUCAGGAGGAACACCGAUGGCGAAGGCAGCACUCUGGGCCGGCACUGACGCUGAGGAGCGAAAGCGUGGGGAGCGAACAGG
rnacentral:rRNA from 1 species